rnacentral:rRNA from 1 species
CGUGACGAUCGGGUCCUGUCCGGAGGCAAUCAUCCGAAAAUACGCGUACAGACCCAUCUGGCGCACCGUGUCGGCGUCUUUCCAAUCGAAGCACUUUUGAAAGAUGUCCACUCCGCCUCCGGCCCGUGUGGAGCUCAUGUUAACUCAACCACUUCUGCUGUCGAUACCAGGCCCAGGUUUCGCCCGCUCCGUCUGCGAAGGCGGUCCAAUCCCCGAGCCCGAGUGUCCUCAGUGAAUCGCGGG